AAAUCGUUGCUUUUGCAGGGAUCGGACGACGACAACACGUGCUGUUCCCGCAGGACGGACACCACGGCCUGCAAUGCCGCAUAUAUUUCAAUUCAGCAAACUUCCCUUUGCUGUUCCUCUCUCUGUGAUUAGGCAGUGAAAGUUUUCUUUGCCUAGAAAGUCACUUCGUUGCAGUAGUAUAUGUAACUGACUCCACUGAUAUAUAUAUAUAUAUAUAUAUAUAUGUGGCCGUGUGCAUAGGUGUUUGAUAAAUCUUAAUUAUGUAACGUAGAACAGCCAAUGACUGGCAGAGGGAGAUACAAAGUGUUCUCACGUUAUUCUCGCUUUGGCGUAAUACGAGCUUGCUACCCCACAAGCUAGACAGUUGCUAGGCUUUAUGAAAUCAUUUUUUUCUUUUCAUUUUUUGCCACCGGCAAAGCGUACUUUAUCGGAACGUGAACGCUUGCAACAAUCAGCAAUAACAAGAGGCCGCUCUGUGAAGAUCGUUUGGGCAAUCCCGGUGCAAAUGUUUGGAUUUGCUUUCCGUUUUCUUCGGACUCCCACUCAUUGAUGUACAUAUGUACCAGUGACCAACUUCUUUACUAACGAAUGCGCAGUUACCUUAUUGCAACUACCUUACGUCUAGCGCGUGAAGAAACCCGGGCGUUGUACAUAAACGUAAAGCGGCUCACAAACUCAGCGGAAAGAUCAGCAGGUAAACUGAUAGGUCCUAAUUACAUGCUAGACUCUUGAUGCAGUAUCAAGAAUUGUUACAUGUCUCCUUGGACUACUGGCAAAAGCUCAGCUAUUGACGUAGUUAGAACCCGCACGCACACACACACACACACACACACACACACACACACACACACACACACACACACA